GCCUGUUUGGGGCUUCUCUGUUGUCUCUUUGGGCGUGUUGAACACGACGCUGCUGCGGAAUGGGCGGACGACCAACGUUCGGAGGCAAAGUCACUUGCGGCCUCUCCAAUGUGGUGGCUGUUGAAACUUCUGCCUGUAGUGGAGGAUAUGGAUCGACAGCUUCGCAGCCUGAAGAAUUCGAGUCCCCUUCCUGGGUAAGAGGGGAAACCUUGUUGUUGGCAUCUUCAUUCUCUUUUCUCAUUUGACUUGAUGAACUUGAUUCUGCCUGCAUUUACACAGAGAACAAACUUUUUUUUUAAAAAGCUUGACUGUGUCCACAGCUUGGGCAUAUCAAACAUAGAAUUG